rnacentral:rRNA from 1 species
UGGGGAAUCUUGGACAAUGGGCGCAAGCCUGAUCCAGCCAUGCCGCGUGGAUGAUGAAGGCCUUAGGGUUGUAAAAUCCUUUCGUGGGGGACGAUAAUGACGGUACCCCAAGAAGAAGCUCCGGCUAACUUCGUGCCAGCAGCCGCGGUAAUACGAAGGGGGCUAGCGUUGUUCGGAUUUACUGGGCGUAAAGCGCGUGUAGGCGGGUCGUUAAGUUGGGGGUGAAAUCCCGAGGCUCAACCUCGGAACUGCCUUCAAAACUGGCGACCUGGACCUAAGUAGAGGCAAGUGGAAUUGCGAGUGUAGAGGUGAAAUUCGUAGAUAUUCGCAGGAACACCAGUGGCGAAGGCGACUUGCUGGACUUAUGGUGACGCUGAGACGCGAAAGCGUGGGGAGCAAACAGGAUUAGAUACCCAGGUAGUCCCUGAGCGGGCUGGCAAGGCGCAU